rnacentral:rRNA from 1 species
GCGCAACCCUUGUCCUUAGUUACCAGCACGGUUAUGGUGGGCACUCUAAGGAGACUGCCGGUGGACAAACCGGAGGAAGGUGGGGAUGACGUCAAGUCAUCAUGGCCCUUACGGCCUGGGCUACACACGUGCUACAAUGGUCGGUACAAAGGGUUGCCAAGCCGCGAGGUGGAGCUAAUCCCAUAAAACCGAUCGUAGUCCGGAUCGCAGUCUGCAACUCGACUGCGUGAAGUCGGAAUCGCUAGUAAUCGUGAAUCAGAAUGUCACGGUGAAUACGUUCCCGGGCCUU